UACGAAGGGGGCUAGCGUUGCUCGGAAUCACUGGGCGUAAAGGGCGCGUAGGCGGCCAGAUUAGUCAGGCGUGAAAGCCCUGGGCUCAACCUGGGGACUGCGCUUGAGACGGUAUGGCUUGAGGGUGGAAGAGGCUCGCGGAAUUCCCAGUGUAGAGGUGAAAUUCGUAGAUAUUGGGAAGAACACCGGUGGCGAAGGCGGCGACU
rnacentral:rRNA from 1 species